GCAGGUCAGAAAGCAGGAGCUGAUGCAGAGGCCAUGGAGGGAUGUUCCUUACUGGCUUGCUUCCCCUGGCUUGCUCAGUCUGUUCUCUUAUAGAACUAAGACUACCAGCCCAGAGAUGGUCCCACCCACAAGGGGCCUUUCCCCCUUGAUCACUAAUUGAGAAAAUGCUUACAGUUGGAUCUCAUGGAGGCACUUCCUCAACUGAAGCUCCUUUCUCUGUGAUAACUCCAGCUGCGUCAAGUUGACACAAAAUUAGCCAGUACAGAGACUGAAGACUUAGAAUAAAUCUGUCUUCUAGAGAGAGCCUGUAAAAUGAACGUGAAAAAAUGAUGCCAGAGAAAAAAAGUCAACAUUCAAGAGCAGCCCAGCAUCUGAAUCUACUGCCUGGCAGUCCUCCCUCUCUUCUGAAGCUGUCUGUUUUCAAUACUUAAACCCAGCUGAAAAGCUAAUUUGUGAACAGAGGAGGGCAAAAGCCAGCACAGGCAUACACAGUGUUCCGACGCAGCUGGAGCACAUUGCAGCUAGGGACAUUUGUAAAGACACAUGUCACUUGCCUGCUUUGCUUCUGGAAAGCCAUAUGUUCUACUCCUCAACACUUGGAGUCUGAAUUUCUCCAGAGUCUCAGCUCUGUGGUGAUGUGCCUCACCGGUGUGUGGGAAGUGGGGACAUCACAGGUGCACCAUCUGGGCUGCUAACAAGGACACUUGCACGGGCGAGUGCUGAAAUAGCUCUGGGCCACUGACUUAAUAUACAUUUUUUGAUCCACAUUUUUAAAGACAAGUUCUCCUUGAGUUACAUGUGAGCACUGGUAGGCCUAAAAUAACAAGGAUGGCUGGUUUGAAGGACUCCUUCCUGCUCUCUGUGCUGAGAUUGGCCAGCUUUCUAUCACUGUGAUAAAAAAACAAAAACCAAAAAAACCCAAAACACCCAACAUAGUCAUUUUUUAAAGAAUAAAAUGUUUACUUUGGCUC
rnacentral:lncRNA from 1 species